GACGAACGCUGGCGGCGUGCCUAAUACAUGCAAGUCGAACGCACUCUCGUUUAGAUUGAAGGAGUUUGCUCCUGAUUGAUAAACAUUUGAGUGAGUGGCGGACGGGUGAGUAACACGUGGGUAACCUGCCCUAAAGUGGGGGAUAACAUUUGGAAACAGAUGCUAAUACCGCAUAAAACCUAACACCGCAUGGUGUAGGGUUGAAAGAUGGUUUCGGCUAUCACUUUAGGAUGGACCCGCGGUGCAUUAGUUAGUUGGUGAGGUAAAGGCUCACCAAGACUGGGAUGCAUAGCCGACAUGAGAGGGUAAUCCGCCACACGGGGACUGAGACACGGCCCAGACUCCUACGGGAGGCAGCAGUAGGGAAUCUUCCACAAUGGACGAAAGUCUGAUGGAGCAACGCCGCGUGAGUGAAGAAGGUUUUCGGAUCGUAAAACUCUGUUGUUGGAGAAGAAUGUAUCUGAUAGUAACUGAUCAGGUAGUGACGGUAUCCAACCAGAAAGCCACGGCUAACUACGUG
rnacentral:rRNA from 1 species